GGGGGAAUGCCCGAGUGGCCAAAGGGAGCAGACUGUAAAUCUGUCGGCGAUGCCUACGGUAGUUCGAAUCUACCUUCCCCCACCA
rnacentral:tRNA from 1 species